rnacentral:lncRNA from 1 species
CAUGAUUUGGAGGAAAAGCCAGAAAGGAGGAAUCCUAAACCACCUGCAUAAACCCACCUGACAGUAGUGGGAGCCUAAAGAGGCAAAGAGCAAGAAGGAGUAGAGGUUUUCUGUACAGGUACCAAUAAGGUUGUCUCCUGACUGGAAAAUGAGGAGUCAAAGAGUCCCACGGCCUUUCUGCCCCUUACACUGAAGGGAAAACGAACCGCCUGGUCAUAGGACAAAUGUUGUCUUGGGUCACCAUCAAGAUCCUGACCUGCCUAACUGAUGUGACGCAGGGAAAGGAGGUACCUCGAUGCUCAUCAAGAGGAGAACCUCAUUACUGCAGCCUGGAGAAGCCGGAGAGGUCUCCAAAGGCUUUCUAGAGGGGUCACUCUGCAGCACCAGCACCGUUACUUGUGUCAGCCUCAGGCAAGAUCCUUCCUCUUGGGAGUGACUUUCCAACCCUCUGACCUGCCAUCAGCUCCUCGCCUGGCACCACGCACCAAAGCUGCAGGUACCUUUUAUUCCGUGCGGUCUGUCAAACCUGGUGUUUCCUCUUGGGCAAGCACCUGCUGAAACUGAAACCCAACCCAACACAUAGUUG